AGCAGCCGCGGUAAUUCCAGCUCCAAUAGCGUAUAUUAAAGUUGUUGCAGUUAAAAAGCUCGUAGUUGAAUUUCGGGAUCAAUUAGUCGGUCGUGCCUCUGGUACGUACUGGUUUUAUUGGUUCCUCCCUUCUGACGAAACAUGAUGUCAUUAAUUUGGUGUCGUGGAGAAUCAGGACUGUUACCUUGAAAAAAUUAGAGUGUUUAUAGCAGGCUAACGCUUGAAUACAUUAGCAUGGAAUAAUGAAAUAGGACGUUCGACCCUAUUUUGUUGGUUUCUAGGAUCGACGUAAUGAUUAAUAGGGAUAGUUGGGGGCAUUAGUAUUCAAUUGUCAGAGGUGAAAUUCUUGGAUUUAUUGAAGACUAACUACUGCGAAAGCAUUUGCCAAGGAUGUUUUCAUUAAUCAAGAACGAAAGUUAGGGGAUCGAAGACGAUCAGAUACCGUCGUAGUCUUGACCAUAAACUAUGCCGACUAGGGAUCGGAUGAUGUUAAUUUUUAAUGACUCAUUCGGCGCCUUAA
rnacentral:rRNA from 1 species